rnacentral:rRNA from 1 species
UUUAAAAGCCUUCGGAUUUUCGAGAUUGGGCUCUUCUGAUGUACUUUCUCGUACGGUUAGUCAACAUCGGUUUUGAAUGUCAUAAAAUGACUGGAGGAAUGUGGCUUCGAUCUCGUAUUGAAGUGUUAUAACCUUUGGUAGAUGUGAUGUUUGAGACCGAGGAUUGCAACGGAUACCCUUCUGGGCUAUUCGUCUGAUCUCUGAAACGUUGCCUUGAUGUCGAAAGCUUGCUUAUGAUGCUAGGUAAUACGGUCAAAAGGUUAGAACGGAUUAAA